rnacentral:rRNA from 1 species
CCUACGGACGGCAGCAGUGAGGAAUAUUGGUCAAUGGACGAGAGUCUGAACCAGCCACGUAGCGUGAAGGAUGACUGCCCUAUGGGUUGUACACUUCUUUUAUAUGGGAAUAAAAUGUUCCACGUGUGGGAUUUUGUAUGUACAAUAUGAAUAAGGAUCGGCUCACUCCGUGCCAGCAGCCGCGGUAAUACGGAGGAUCCGAGCGUUAUCCGGAUUUAUUGGGUUUAAAGGGAGCGUAGGUGGAUUGUUAAGUCAGUUGUGAAAGUUUGCGGCUGAACCGUAAAAUUGCAGUUGAAACUGGCAGUCUGGAGUACAGUAGAGGUGGGCGGAAUUCGUGGUGUAGCGGUGAAAUGCUUAGAUAUCACGAAGAACUCCGAUUGCGAAGGCAGUUCACUGGACUGCAACUGACACUGAGGCUCGAAAGUGUGGGUAUCAAACAGGAUUAGAUACCCCGGUAGUC